UACGUAGGGGGCAAGCGUUGUCAGGAAUCAUUGGGCGUAAAGAGCGUGUAGGCGGCCAGAUAAGUCCGCUGUGAAAUCUCGAGGCUCAACUUCGAGCUGUCGGUGGAAACUGUCUGGCUAGAGUCCGGAAGAGGAGAAUGGAAUUCCUGGUGUAGCGGUGAAAUGCGCAGAUAUCAGGAAGAACACCCGUGGCGAAGGCGGUUCUCUGGGACGGUACUGACGCUGAGACGCGAAAGCGUGGGGAGCGAACAGG
rnacentral:rRNA from 1 species